UAAAUAUCGAUUCCUUCGUGGAAAAUUUGCAUAAUAUAUAUAUCGGAUCGAUAUAAUAAUUAUUCAAGAUCGUUUAAUUAGAGAAUACAACUGCACGCACGUGUAAAGGGAUAAAAACGGCCUAUGGUUAUUAAUACUGUUCCCAAUUAGCUGAACGCUAAUCCACGUGCAUUUCAUUUCCCUCCCAAGUGUAAUCGCGAUUCGAAACCGCGACACGGACGAAAGCAGAUCCGAUUCGAUCGGAUCACUCCCCCUCCCCUCUGUACGACGGAUCGAAGAAGAGGAGAGGAGCGGCACAAAGCGGCACGCGAAGCUCGUUCAUACUCGGAAUUCAAUUAUCGGACGGGGCGAUGUCGGGCAUUGUCUUCUCAAAGGAGUCGUCCCGAGUCGAGGCCACCCUUGACUGCCCGGCUCUUCGGCCUGUCCCUGGGCGAGCGCACUACAUUCCCAGACUGGGAUUUAGCCUCCAGGACGCCCUCAUGGACGGGCGCGCACCGUCCGGUGUAUCCACGCACCACCCCUCCCCCCUCCAUUCGAAUCUCCGCCGUGGGGGGAGAGCGUUAAGCGUGUCUCACACUUGGAGGAAUCACUCUGGACAAAGCACUUUGUCGGGCUCCCCGUCGUCGUGGCCGUGAAACCGGUCAAGUUGGAGGUUAUGUGUCUUUAUUUUUAGAAGGGUCUUGACGGUGAUGAUUUUGAAACGAAAAUAACGAUCUUAAAGUAUUAAAAAAAAAGAAAAGAAAAUGGCGACGAAAAAGAAUUGGGAACAGACAUCAAAGCAGACAUUUAUCGGAUGCAAAAGUCGCUAUCAAGGUCGAACAUUUACAUGUCUAUACCUGAGGACGCCGAAUUAUGUAUCAGAUGCAGUAGAAUAUCUCAACGUAUCUCAAUUUUUUUCCCUUACGAUGUUACAUGGGAAAAUUAAAUUUUUGGAAAAUUAUAUUUUCUCCUUAAUAGAUGAAUAAUUGAAAAAAAAAAAAAAAGAAAGAAGAAGAAAUUGUAUCUCGCAUUAAUAUCUUCUUUUCUUAUUUUUUAACCUAGUUUUAACGUCUAGCCGAGCGUAUCACAUCGAUAGCAAUACUUGUUCACCCAUUCCAGUGUGAAUUGAACAGUGUCGCUGUUACCAUCGGCAAGUCGAACAAUAAACGUUUAGUGCUACGGUUUGCGCGAUUUCAACUUAACAGCAAAAUUACUUACGAUUGUUAACAGUUGUAAUUAGUGGAAUUAUAGUGUUAUAUGUUCGUUGGAGGAAGAUUUAUCGUAAUACGAGCGAUAAUUUCACUUAACAUCCGCUGCGAUGAAUCGAAUUAAAGUGGGAUUUUCUUAUCUUCCUUCAUUCUAAACUUGUGUGCGCGAUAGUACGAGAAGGCUGAUAGAAAAUCGAGAUUAUGCGUGGCAUUGAUACUAUUCGUGAGAGUCGUACAAAUGUGUGUGUACAUAUAUAUAUAUAAUUCGCAUGGCUUGUACGCAAAAGAUUUUUAUAAUCUUUGAGAUGAAAUAUCAGAGGAUAAAUUUCCACAAGAGAUACCAUCUAAAAUUUAUGAACAUAAUUUAUCCGAAGUUUUCAUAUCUUGGAACGCUUGAACGAUUCUUUUUUCUCGACUGGAAACGAUUUUCUUGCUUGCUGAUUUAAUGUGAUUCGACAAACAGAAUUCGGAACAAUUUUAUCCAAGUGUUAACGAUCGAUCUCCCUCGCCAUUUCUUAAUACGGAAUGUAAUGUAAAUUAUCUAUUGAUUUUAAAUGUAUAUUCUGAAAAAUAAUUUGAAAAAUGAUAUUAUUCGUUUAAUCUAUUUUUUUUUUUUUUUUUUUUUUUUACGAG
rnacentral:lncRNA from 1 species